AUGGCAUCCCCCGUGGCAGCGCAGGCCCAGAAACUUCUGUGAGACCUGGCGCUCCGGCCCCGGCUCCUGGCGCCCAGGUCUCAGCCAGUGCAAUUAACCUCCAGACGAUGGCUGAAUCUGCAGGAAUACCAGAACAAGAAACUGAUGUCUGACAAUGGAGUGAAAGUUCAAAGAUUCUUUGUGGCAGGCAUUGUGAAUGAAGCUCUAGAGGCCGCUAAGAGACUAAGUGCAAAAGAAAUGGUUUUAAAAGCCCAGAUCUUAGCUGGAGGAAGAGGAAAAGGUGUCAUCAGUAGUGGUUUGAAAGGAGGUGUUCAUUUGAUGAAAGACCCUAAAGUUGUGGGACAGCUGGCUAAACAGAUGAUUGGGUAUAAUCUAGCAACAAAACAAACUCUAAAAGAAGGUGUGAAAGUUAACAAGGUGAUGGUUGCUGAAGACUUGAACAUUUCCAGAGAAACCUACUUCACGAUUCUGAUGGACCGGGCCUGCAAUGGCCCUGUCCUGGUGGGCAGCCCCCAAGGGGGUGUUGACAUUGAAGAGGUGGCAGCAUCAAGCCCAGAACUCAUUUUUAAGGAGAAAAUUGACAUUAUUGAAGGGAUAAAGGACAGCCAAGCUCAGCGGAUGGCAGAAAAUCUAGGCUUCCUUGGGCCUUUGAAAAACCAGGCUGCAGAGCAAAUUAAGAAACUGUAUAAUCCCUUCCUGAAAAUUGAUGCUACUCAGGUGGAAGUGAACUCCUUUGGUGAAACUCCAGAAGGACAAGUUAUCUGUUUUGAUGCCAAGAUAAACUUUGAUAAUGCAGAAUUCCAACAGAAGGACAUAUUUGUUAUGGACGACAGAUCAGAGAAUGAGCCCAUUGAAAACGAAGCUGCCAGAUAUGAUCUAAAGUACAUAGGGCUGGAUGGGAACAUUGCCUGCUUCGUGAAUGCUGCUGGACUUGCCAUGGCUACUUGUGAUAUCAUCUUCUUGAAUGGUGGCAAGCCAGCCAACUUCUUGGAUCGUGGUGGUGGUGUAAAGGAAUCUCAAGUAUAUCAAGCCUUCAAAUUGCUCACAGCUGACCCUAAGGUUGAAGCCAUCCUCGUCAAUAUUUUUGGUGGAAUCGUCAACUGUGCCAUCAUUGCCAAUGGAAUCACCAAAGCCUGCCAGGAGCUGGAACUUAAAGUGCCCCUGAUGAUCCGGCUUGAAGGAACCAAUGUCCAUGAGGCCCAGAACAUACUCAGUAACAGCGGGCUCCCAAUUACCUCCGCCGCUGACCUGGAGGAUGCAACCAAGAAGGCUGUGGCUAGCAAGGCCAAGAAGUGACGGCUCUGUCCUUGUCCCUUGGAGGAGGAAGUCCAUUUCACCAUAAAAAGGGAUGGUUCCCUCUUCACUGUGAAAGACAUGGUUAUCUCAUUGGGAAAACAUGGGGAGGGCGUGAGCAAGAAUCAUUGAAUGAAAAAUCUUAAAUCUGAAGCUUGUGGAAUAAGAUAUUUAGAUAUCCUAAAUAAUCUGAUUUUACUUAUAGUCUAUAUUAAAUCACUGGCCCCUGUUCUCAUACUUUUCUGUCAUGGUGAGCCUGCUCAGUAGAUAUUGUGUUGCUGAUUUGGGGGAGGAGUCUAUGUGACCAAACGGUGUGCAUAUAUGUAGAAUUUGAGGCCAGGCCCUCAUUCAUUUACAGCAAUUUUGGUGGACAUUUAAUCCUGCAUAAUUAAAAACAAAAA